GACGAACGCUGGCGGCGUGCUUAACACAUGCAAGUCGAACGGAAAGGCCCCUUUGGGGGUACUCGAGUGGCGAACGGGUGAGUAACACGUGAGUAACCUGCCCUUGACUUCGGGAUAGCUUCAGGAAACUGGGGCUAAUACCGGAUAGGAAUCCUUGCUGCAUGGUGGGGGUUGGAAAGCUUCGGCGGUUUUGGAUGGACUCGCGGCUUAUCAGCUUGUUGGUGGGGUAGUGGCUUACCAAGGCUUUGACGGGUAGCCGGCCUGAGAGGGCGACCGGCCACAUUGGGACUGAGAUACGGCCCAGACUCCUACGGGAGGCAGCAGUGGGGAAUAUUGCACAAUGGGCGGAAGCCUGAUGCAGCAACGCCGCGUGCGGGAUGACGGCCUUCGGGUUGUAAACCGCUUUCAGCAGGGGCGAAGCUUUUGUGACGGUACCUGCAGAAGAAGCACCGGCUAACUACGUG
rnacentral:rRNA from 1 species